rnacentral:rRNA from 1 species
CCUACGGGAGGCAGCAGUAGGGAAUCUUCCGCAAUGGACGAAAGUCUGACGGAGCAACGCCGCGUGAGUGAUGAAGGUUUUCGGAUCGUAAAACUCUGUUGUUAGGGAAGAACAAGUACCGUUCGAAUAGGGCGGUACCUUGACGGUACCUAACCAGAAAGCCACGGCUAACUACGUGCCAGCAGCCGCGGUAAUAGCCAGUAGGUGGCAAGCGUUGUCCGGGAAUUAUUGGGCGUAAAGCGCGCGCAGGCGGUUUCUUAAGUCUGAUGUGAAAGCCCCCGAGCUCAACCGGGGAGGGUCAUUGGAAACUGGGGAACUUGAGUGCAGAAGAGGAGAGUGGAAUUCCACGUGUAGCGGUGAAAUGCGUAGAGAUGUGGAGGAACACCAGUGGCGAAGGCGACUCUCUGGUCUGUAACUGACGCUGAGGCGCGAAAGCGUGGGGAGCGAACAGGAUUAGAUACCCUGGUAGUC